rnacentral:rRNA from 1 species
CCUACGGGUGGCAGCAGUAGGGAAUCUUCCACAAUGGGCGCAAGCCUGAUGGAGCAACGCCGCGUGGGUGAAGAAGGUCUUCGGAUCGUAAAAUCCUGUUGUCUGAGAAGAAAGUGCGUGAGAUUAUCUGUUCACGCUUCGACGGUACCUAACCAGAAAGCCACGGCUAACUACGUGCCAGCAGCCGCGGUAAUACGUAGGUGGCAAGCGUUAUCCGGAUUUAUUGGGCGUAAAGCGCACGCAGGCGGUCUGUUAAGUCUGAUGUGAAAGCCUUCGGCUUAACCGGAGUAGUGCAUUGGAGACUGGGAGGCUUGAGUGCCGAAGAGGAGGGGAGAACUCCAGGUGUAGCGGUGAAAUGCGUAGAUAUAUGGAGGAACACCGGUGGCGAAGGCGGCUCCCUGGUC